ACCGGCGCACGGGUGAGUAACACGUAUCCAACCUGCCCUUUACUCGGGGAUAGCCUUUCGAAAGAAAGAUUAAUACCCGAUAUAAAGGAUGGGGAUGCGUUCCAUUAGGUUGUUGGUGAGGUCACGGCUCACCAAGCCUUCGAUGGAUAGGGGUUCUGAGAGGAAGGUCCCCCACAUUGGAACUGAGACACGGUCCAAACUCCUACGGGAGGCAGCAGUGAGGAAUAUUGGUCAAUGGGCGCUAGCCUGAACCAGCCAAGUAGCGUGAAGGAUGAAGGCUUAUGGGUCGUAAACUUCUUUUAUAUAAGAAUAUGUAUUAUAUGAAUAAGGAUCGGCUAACUCCGUGCCAGCAGCCGCGGUAAUACGGAGGAUCCGAGCGUUAUCCGGAUUUAUUGGGUUUAAAGGGAGCGUAGGUGGACUGGUAAGUCAGUUGUGAAAGUUUGCGGCUCAACCGUAAAAUUGCAGUUGAUACUGUCAGUCUUGAGUACAGUAGAGGUGGGCGGAAUUCGUGGUGUAGCGGUGAAAUGCUUAGAUAUCACGAAGAACUCCGAUUGC
rnacentral:rRNA from 1 species